rnacentral:rRNA from 1 species
AUGAGGCACCGGCUGCGACGGGUGCACCGUCAGGUCGACAAGCUGCUCGAAGACAUCAUUGGGGAGCGCAAACGGCUUCGGCAGAAGAAGAUGAAGGACACAGCUGAGGACAUGCUAGAUGUGCUUCUCGACGCCAUGGAACAUCCAGACACGGACGUGCCCAUUACACACGACAACAUCAAGGCUGUCAUAAUGGAUAUGUUUGCCGGGGGCACAGAGACAUCAUCGUCAACGAUAGAGUGGGCGAUCGCAGAGCUAAUGAAGAACCCCAAGGAGAUGACCAAAGUGCAGGACGAGGUGAGGACAAAAAUGCAGGGAGAGGCAAGUUGGUGCGACAUCGGACAACUCAGCUACCUCCGGCUUGUCGUCAAGGAGACGCUGCGGCUGCACAUGCCGGCGCCUCUUCUAAUCCCCAGGGUCUGCAAGGAGCAGUGCCGUCUUGGUGGCUACACAAUUCCGGCCGGCAGCAGGGUGGUCAUCAACGCGUGGGCCAUGAGCAGGGACCAAAGGUACUGGGAGGACGCCGAGGCGUUCCGUCCCGGGAGAUUCCUUGGCACAAGCGUCGACUUCAAGGGGGGCGACUUUGAGUUCCUGCCGUUCGGCGCCGGCCGGAGAAUGUGCCCAGGGAUAGAGUUUGGGCUCGCCGGCGUCGAGCUUUGCUUGGCGCAACUCCUGUUCUAUUUUGACUGGACGCUUCCUGGUGGCAUGGCGCCGGAAGACCUCGACAUGAGCGAGACAUCAUUCGGUGUUUUAUCGGUAGUCCGAAAGGAGCCACUUCGGUUGAUCCCCAGCAUACACGCUCCACUUCACCUCAAGUAUUGA